rnacentral:lncRNA from 1 species
GCCAGAUCCUUAACCCACUGAGCAAGGCCAGGGACCGAACCUGCAGCCUCAUGGUUCCCAGUGGGAUUUGUUAACCACUGCGCCUCAACGGAUUUCUAACAAAGGUGUCCUGACAAUCCAGCGGGGGAAGGAAGAGCCUUUUCCACCAGCGGAUCCCCCACUGCAAGAGAAUACAACUGGACCCCAACUGGUACCAUAUACAAAAUUUAAGUCAAAAUGGACUAAAAUAUAAGAGUUAAACUACAAUACUCAGAAGAAAAUACAAGGGUGACUUCCUAACAGUGGAUUUGGUGAUGGACUCUCAGGUAUGACACCAAAAGCACAAAAGAAGAAAACAGAUAAAUUGGACUUCCUCAAAAUUAAAAAUAGCUGCACUUCAAAGGCUACUAUCAAAGCUUCUGCCCAAAGCCUACAGAACGGCAAAAACAUUUCCUAGUCAUGCAUGUAAGGGAUUUGUACCUACAAUCUUCGAUGCACAAAAAGCUCACAAUUCACCCAAAAAAAGAUAAUCCAAUCGAAGUGCGCAAAGGACUUCUUCAGACAUUUCUGUAAGGAAGAUAAACAAAUGCCAAUAAGCACAAAAAAUGCUCCACGUCACUGGUCAUUAGGGAAAAUGCAAGUCAAAAGCACAAGUCGGAGUUCCCGUCAUGGCUAAGUGAUUAACGAAUCCGACUAGGAACCAUGAGGUUGUGGGUUCGAUCCCUGGCCUUGCUCAGCGGGUUAAGGACCCCGCGCUGCCCUGAGCUGUGGUGUAGGCCACUGCAGCUGUGGUGGAGGCCGGCAGCUGCAGCUCCCAUUCGACCCCCUCGUCUGGGAACGUCCACAUGCCACAAGCGCAGCCCUACAAAGACAGAAAAAAGAAUGCUCAUACCAUCUUCUGUGAAACGACCCCAAGGCCCACGGACAGUACGAUACAGAAGCGAUGGGAGAGUCCGCGGUAGUGAGAGUAACCACAACACAGGGGACUCUCAGAGAGACAAGGCUGGUCCGAAGAGGUGGACAGGACGGCACUCUCGUGGGUCCUGUGCAUAAAGUUCGGAGUCAGGCAGAACUAACCCAAGUAUCACAAGUCAGGAUGGCAGAGACGGCUGGGCAAGUCCAGGGCAGACCAGGAGGGGCACCGGGGCUUCUGUGGUUCUGGGGACGUCCCCUGCUUGAUCCGGGGACUAGGGACAUACAUGACACGGUGCACAUGUGUGCGUGUGUUUCCUACAUUCAUAGAGAUUCUGAAAAGAACACACGUCUUACUGCUGUUGAACCUGGUUAAGAGACGGCGACAGACCCUCCAGAAGCAGCGUGACAGAUUCCAGCACACCCUCGCUACAAGAGAAGGAAGACAGGGCCAACUAAGUCAGAGGCGGGGACACCUGACGCUUCAGUGCCCACAUGACUGCCAUGUGGUUUCACCCUAGCGUUCAAGUUCACAGAACACCGGCCAAUGGCAAGAAUGAGGAAGCAACCAAGACUCUCCAAGCCUAAAUCUAGCCUUGGAGUCUGGUGGGGAGUGAGGACCUAGACUCCGGGAGAGAAAGAAUCCAAACAGCCAGCGUAGCCAACAGUUCGCAAAGCACACCGGACAGAGGACGUUCUGGCCUUUCGGAGGCUGGGGCCUGCUAGGAGGCAACGGGUCCAAUGCUGUCUGUGGAGUAUCAGGAAGACCCAGCCCUCCCUUUCCACGUGUGAUACGCUUCGUGGUAACGGAGCAGUUUUGCUCGAAGCGUGGAGAGACGCCGCUCUGCAACCCCUACGAGCCAGUGAUUCUGAGCGACGAGUGUGACUGUUAACACCACAAAGCAAGACGUCAGAUUUACGGCUGGAAAAACUCAAUUCCAGGUACCUCAUAUACUUGCUCAAAUUUUUUUAAAAGACAAACCUACAUCUGAUGGAGCCUCUAGCCCAGGGCUGUCUAAUGAAAAGAUAAUGUGAACCACAUAUAUAAUUUUUAAUGUUCUUUCUUUCUUUUUUUUGCUUUUUAAGGCCGCAACCCAUGGCAUGUGGAGGUUCCCAGGCUAGGGGUCGAAUCGGAGCCGUAGCCACCGACCUGCACCACAGCCACGGCCAUGCAGGAUCUGAGCCUCGUCUGCAACCGACACCACAGCUCACGGCAACACCGGAUCCUUAACCCCCUGAGCGAGGCCACAUCCUCAUGGAUACCGGUCAGGUUCGUUACCACUGAGCCACAACAGGAACUUCUCUAGUAAUCACAUUUAAAAAAGGAAUUAUAAACACAAAUUACUUUUAAUACAUCUCACUUAAGCCAACAUAACCAAAAGACACGACUUCAACACGCAAACAAGCUUCUUCACGUCGAGUGUGACGCUUUACACUCUCCCGUUCACACCAAGUCUGCAAACCCCGCAUGCACUUAGCACUCACAGCACAUCUCAGCUCUAAAGAACCGCAUGUGACUGGGGGCUGUCACACUGGGAAGCAGCUCCAGAUCUCAAACACCAGUGGCAGGAAGGAGAGAGGACGAAGCCACAUGUUAAACGACAUCAUGAGAAUGUAAUCAGCAAAGUCAAGGUUAAGGGGAACUUCGGGACAAAUGAACCAUCCUCCUCAAAACUUCGCUGUCAGAAAAAGAAUAAAGACAUGGGGAGUUCCCACUGUGGCACAACGGAAUCAGCAGCAAUUCUGCAGCACCAAGACGCAGGCCCAGCACAGUGGGUUAAAGGAUCCGGCGUUGUGACAAAGGCAGCAACUAUGGCUCAGACCUGAUCCCUGGCCCAGGAGCUCCACAUGCCACAGAGUUUUUUUUACAAAAGUGUAAAAAAAAAGAGAGAGUGCUACAUGUCAUAUUUUGUUCCUAAUUUGAAAUAAGAAAUCUAGACAGUGAGUGAAUAUUUACUGACUGAGAUAAUUACAGUAAGUGAAACGUAUCUAAAAACGGCUUCGAGAAGUUCCCGCAGUGCUGUAGCAGGUUAGAGAUCCAGCUCUGACCCCUGGGGGUGUAGGUUCCAUCCCCGGCCCAGCACAGUGGCUGAGGACCGGGUGUUGCUACAGCUCUGUCAUCGGUCACAGCUGGGCCUCAAACGGGGCCCCUGGCUGGGGAACUUCCAUACGCUAUGGGUGUCAUCUAAAAAAAAAAGGAAAAAAGAAAAAGAACUGCAUCAAAAUAAUUGAGAAUGGACUGGAGAGUGGCCGAGAGGAGACAAACGUUGACACCAGGGGACAAGCACACGGGACUCGUUCUGCCACCUGAGUAGGUUUGAAAAAGUUCCAUGAAAGGAGGUCCCUUUGGUGGCUCAGCGGUUAACGAAACCGACCCUGGCCUCACUCAGCAGGUUAAGGAUCCAGCGCUGCCCUGAGCUGUGGGGUAGGUCGAAGACGCGGCUCGGAUCCCACGUUGCUGUGGCCAUGGUGUAGGCCAGUGGUUGUAGCUCCCAUUCAGCCCCUAGCCUGGGAACCUCAUGUGCCACGGGAGCGGCCCAAGAAAUGGCAAAAAAGACAAAAACAAAAAACAAAAACAAAAAACGAGAAUUCUAAAAUAUCCACCUAUGAAUUUGACAGUAUAUGUUCAGUCACUAGGACGCCGGCAGCCUGCCCAGGACAGAGCCGAGUGGCUGGGACACAGGAGGCAGACGCCCCAGUUCACCUCAUCCCUUCUGGAUUCGGAGCCAGGUAACGGGCUCUUCCACUCAAACUAAGUCGAGACACGCGGCUCGACCCACUCGGCCGCCUCUCACGCCCCCGCCAAGCUGCAGGGCACCAGCCUCCUCACUGCCGCCCUCCAGCCACCUUCUUAAAAUAUCAACCCAGGCCUAAGGCUCGCCUGAGGGCCCCGAGAGACCACCAACUCGCCACCAGGGCGACAGGGCCCUCGAUGACCUUCGCCCCUUCGGACCGAGUAACUCUACCGCGUACCAGAGGGGACAGACUCGCCCAACUCACAACCCAGGAAGCUGGAACAUCUAGCAAACAAACACCGCGUGGCUGGCAAAACGGGAAAGACACAGACACACGCAUGGCGCCCGCACGCGGACAGAGCCGCUCUGAGCACGAGCGCGCACACGCGGGCGGGCGGGGCAGAAACUAACCCGACAACGAGCCGGCAUUCUUAGGGGUCUGGGUCUCGCUUUUCAGUUCUGCUCAGAUGCCCGAUUUUUUGGACAUGCACAGCUGUACCUUGCCCUUCCGCUUCAGGUCUCACCAGCUUUACCACCUGGACCAACUCCUCCUCCUCCGGGACCCUUUCCGAACACGGCCGCCGGCAGCUAUCGGUGCGAGAGUACAGGCUUCUUCUUGUUUACCUUUAACUGAUUCCAUCUCAUUUCCUGCUGGGUAAUAUUUGCUCUAUAACACGCUCAGAUUUUUGUGACAUCAGAGACCAAUCUUAUAAACUCACACUCUCACCCGAGACCUGGAAUAGCACUUUGUAAACACAAGGUGCUCAAUAAAUGCAAGAGUAUUUUAAACAUACUUUGAUCAGAACUUACAAAUCCACUAAAAGCGGGCUGCGGAAAGCAGUCCAAAACCUUUCCCAAAGCAAAACAUCAAGUGACAGGGAUGUCACUGAGAGUGAGGAAAUGCCGCCUUUGAAGAGUUAGAAGAUCGCUUCAACUUUCGUUUUUUUAAAUCCAAAACCUACUAAAGUUGGGUUUUUCUUAAAUAAAUGAAGAUACCAGAAGUUAAAUACAAGCGGAACCGCACUCGGGAGGACGUCUCAGUUUUAGAACUGAAGCUUUUCCUAUCACACCUGCGGAGGCCGACAUACCUGGUCUCCAGGAACACGGCCCUGAGUGACUGGCUGAGGGGCACCGCGAGCUGAAACCACCUGCCCACUUUGCCAUGAGACAACGUCAUCCACCCGACAUGGCCGUCCGGGGACACGGCGAAGGACAGACCAGUCCCAAAGAGAAGAGCCCAAAAUAGGCUUCCCAUCAGCUGCAUUACUUUCGAAGUCAAACUCAACAUGCUCAAAUGUACCAAACUGUUUUGUGAUGUGACCGGAAAGCAAAGAGGAAAGCAG